UUCUUCUUUAGUUCAAGACAAGGUUACGUUGACUAGCCUCCGUUACGUCACGCCUUUACAUUGAGACAAGGUUACGUUAGCGUCAUUUGUUUCAUUCUUUUUUACAUCGACACAAGGUUAUGUUAGCCAGUCAUUCAUUACACAUGUUUUUCUUUAGUUUGAGACAAGGUUAUGUUAGCCAGUCAUUCAUUACACAUGUUUUUCUUUAGUUUGAGACAAGGUUAUGUUAGCCAGUCAUUCAUUACACAUGUUUUUCUUUAGUUUGAGACAAGGUUAUGUUAGCCAGUCAUUCAUUACAUAUGUUUUUCUUUAGUUUGAGACAAGGUUAUGUUAGCCAGUCAUUCAUUACAUAUGUUUUUCUUUAGUUUGACACAAGGUUAUGUUAGCCAGUCAUUCAUUACACAUGUUUUUCUUUAGUUUGAGACAAGGUUAUGUUAGCCAGUCAUUCAUUACAUAUGUUUUUCUUUAGUUUGACACAAGGUUAUGUUAGCCAGUCAUUCAUUACAUAUGUUUUUCUUUAGUUUGACACAAGGUUGUUAGCCAGUCAUUCAUUACAUAUGUUUUUCUUUAGUUUGAGACAAGGUUAUGUUAGCCAGUCAUUCAUUACAUAUGUUUUUCUUUAGUUUGAGACAAGAUUACGUUAGAGAUUAGACAGACAUUCAUUAAGUCAUUUUUCGAACAUGGUAUUAUUAUUUAUCAAGUU